rnacentral:rRNA from 1 species
CUUAACACAUGCAAGUCGAACGAGGCGAUUGAAAGCUUGCUUUUGAAAGUCGAGUGGCAAACGGGUGAGUAACGCGUAGGCAACCUGCCUCUAGGAUGGGGACAACAGUCCGAAAGGACUGCUAAUACCGAAUGUUGUAUCAAUUCCGCAUGGAGUUGGUAUGAAAGAUGGCCUCUACUUGUAAGCUAUCACCUAGAGAUGGGCCUGCGUCUGAUUAGCUAGUUGGUGGGGUAACGGCCUACCAAGGCGAUGAUCAGUAGCCGGUCUGAGAGGAUGAACGGCCACAUUGGGACUGAGACACGGCCCAGACUCCUACGGGAGGCAGCAGUGGGGAAUCUUCCGCAAUGGGCGAAAGCCUGACGGAGCAAUGCCGCGUGAGUGAUGAAGGAAUUCGUUCCGUAAAGCUCUUUUGUUUAUGACGAAUGUGCAGAUUGUGAAUAAUGAUCUGUAAUGACGGUAGUAAACGAAUAAGCCACGGCUAACUACGUG